GCGGUACCGGUUCACGUCACGACGGCCAGCCCCGACCGGGGCCCGGCUAGCGGCGACCCGGCGACC
rnacentral:ncRNA from 1 species